AUUGAAUGCUGGCGGCAGGCCUAACACAUGCAAGUCGAGCGGAUGAAGGGAGCUUGCUCCUGGAUUCAGCGGCGGACGGGUGAGUAAUGCCUAGGAAUCUGCCUGGUAGUGGGGGAUAACGUCCGGAAACGGGCGCUAAUACCGCAUACGUCCUGAGGGAGAAAGUGGGGGAUCUUCGGACCUCACGCUAUCAGAUGAGCCUAGGUCGGAUUAGCUAGUUGGUGGGGUAAAGGCCUACCAAGGCGACGAUCCGUAACUGGUCUGAGAGGACGAUCAGUCACACUGGAACUGAGACACGGUCCAGACUCCUACGGGAGGCAGCAGUGGGGAAUAUUGGACAAUGGGCGAAAGCCUGAUCCAGCCAUGCCGCGUGUGUGAAGAAGGUCUUCGGAUUGUAAAGCACUUUAAGUUGGGAGGAAGGGCAGUAAGUUAAUACCUUGCUGUUUUGACGUUACCAACAGAAUAAGCACCGGCUAACUUCGUG
rnacentral:rRNA from 1 species